CCUCUUUUAUAACCUGAUUUUCAUGGCUUUGUGGGCUCAAAUGAGAGAGGUCCAAAUCCAAGAUUUUUUCUUUUAUUUAUUUAUUUAUUUAUUUUAACUUUUUUUUUUCUUUUUCCGUUUUUUUUUUCGUUUUUCGUUUUUUUUUUCUUCGUUUUUUUCGUUUUUUUUUUGCAUAACAAGUGGGCUUCGCCUAGCAAGCAUGAUAACUCAUGAACAAACCUUUGCUCCUUCAAGAUUAACGUUUUGACUAACGAAUAG
rnacentral:lncRNA from 1 species